rnacentral:rRNA from 1 species
GACGAACGCUGGCGGCGUGCCUAAUACAUGCAAGUCGAACGCAGUGGGGACGGGUGAGUAACACGUGGGUAACCUCCCAUCAGAGGGGAUAACACUUGGAAACAGGUGCUAAACCGAUACUGAUGGAUGGACCCGCGGUGCAUUAGCUAGUUGGUGAGGUAACGGCUCACCAAGGCCACGAUGCAUAGGCGCCCCAGGGGGGUGUACGGCCGAACUGGGAACUGGAACGGGCCCAGACUCCCUCGGGAGGCAGCAGGAGGGAAUUUUGGGAAAGGGGGGAAAGUCUGACCGAGCAACGCCGCGUGAGUGAAGAAGGUUUUCGGAUCGUAAAACUCUGUUGUUAGAGAAGCGGUAUCUAACCAGAAAGCCACGGCUAACUACGUGCCAGCAGCCGCGGUAAUAC